AUAUUGGCUUGCCAAUAUUUGAUGGCGACCGGCGCACGGGUGAGUAACACGUAUCCAACCUUCCGGUUACUCGGGGAUAGGCUUUCGAAAGAAAGAUUAAUACCCGAUGUUGCGUAUCUUUCUCCUGAAAGAUACGCCAAAGGAUUCCGGUAACCGAUGGGGAUGCGUUCCAUUAGGCAGUUGGCGGGGUAACGGCCCACCAAACCUUCGAUGGAUAGGGGUUCUGAGAGGAAGGUCCCCCACAUUGGAACUGAGACACGGUCCAAACUCCUACGGGAGGCAGCAGUGAGGAAUAUUGGUCAAUGGACGGAAGUCUGAACCAGCCAAGUAGCGUGAAGGAUGACUGCCCUCUGGGUUGUAAACUUCUUUUAUACGGGAAUAACAUGAGGUACGCGUACCUUAUUGCAUGUACCGUUAUGAAUAAGCAUCGGCUAACUCCGUGCCAGCAGCCGCGGUAAUACGGAGGAUGCGAGCGUUAUCCGGAUUUAUUGGGUUUAAAGGGAGCGUAGGUGGGAUAUUAAGUCAGCUGUGAAAGUUUGGGGCUCAACCUUAAAAUUGCAGUUGAUACUGGUUUCCUUGAGUACGGUACAGGUGGGCGGAAUUCGUGGUGUAGCGGUGAAAUGCUUAGAUAUCACGAAGAACUCCGAUCGCGAAGGCAGCUCACCGGGCCGGAACUGACACUGAUGCUCGAAAGUGCGGGUAUCAAACAGGAUUAGAUACCCUGGUAGUCCGCACAGUAAACGAUG
rnacentral:rRNA from 1 species